AUUGAACGCUGGCGGCAUGCCUUACACAUGCAAGUCGAACGGUAACAGGUCUUCGGAUGCUGACGAGUGGCGAACGGGUGAGUAAUACAUCGGAACGUGCCUAGUAGUGGGGGAUAACUACUCGAAAGAGUGGCUAAUACCGCAUGAGAUCUAAGGAUGAAAGCAGGGGAUCGCAAGACCUUGUGCUACCAGAGCGGCCGAUGGCAGAUUAGGUAGUUGGUGGGAUAAAAGCUUACCAAGCCGACGAUCUGUAGCUGGUCUGAGAGGACGAUCAGCCACACUGGGACUGAGACACGGCCCAGACUCCUACGGGAGGCAGCAGUGGGGAAUUUUGGACAAUGGGCGCAAGCCUGAUCCAGCAAUGCCGCGUGCAGGAUGAAGGCCUUCGGGUUGUAAACUGCUUUUGUACGGAACGAAAAGCCCUGGGUUAAUACCCUGGGGUCAUGACGGUACCGUAAGAAUAAGCACCGGCUAACUACGUGCCAGCCGCCGCAGUAAAAC
rnacentral:rRNA from 1 species